rnacentral:rRNA from 1 species
CCUACGGGUGGCAGCAGUGGGGAAUAUUGCACAAUGGGGGAAACCCUGAUGCAGCGACGCCGCGUGAGCGAAGAAGUAUUUCGGUAUGUAAAGCUCUAUUAGCAGGGAAGAAAAUGACGGUACCUGCGUAAGAAGCUCCGGCUAAAUACGUGCCAGCAGCCGCGGUAAUACGUAGGGAGCAAGCGUUAUCCGGAUUUACUGGGGGUAAAGGGAGCGUUGGCGGGUUGACAAGUCUGAUGUGAAAGACGGGGGCUAAACCCCGUGGCUGUAUUGGAAACUGGCAGGCUGGAGUGCGGGAGAGGUAGGCGGAAUUCCUGGGGUAGCGGUGAAAUGCGUAGAUAUUAGGAGGAACACCAGUUGCGAAGGCAGCUUACUGGACGGUGACUGACGCUGAGGCACGAAAGCGUGGGGAGCAAACAGGAUUAGAUACCCUGGUAGUC